rnacentral:rRNA from 1 species
ACCAAUCCUACUACUUCUCAUCCCGGGGUUUCCGCAGUUGAAUAAAAAAGUACAGGCCAUAUCGAUCAAAUUAUUGGACACGUGUUGGAUGUCACUUUUACCCCAGGCAAGUUACCUUAUAUUUAGUCCCAAAUAUUUAUCCAAAAGUACUUCUGUCAUAAUCUCCAAAAUAGUACAUACGCCUUCCUUCAUUUCAGCACACUUGAUUUUUUUCCACACUAA